UACGUAGGGGGCGAGCGUUAUCCGGAGUUACUGGGCGUAAAGGGCGUGCAGGCGGUCUGUUAAGUUCAGGGUGAAAGCUCCCGGCUCAACUGGGAGAGGUCCUUGGAUACUGGCAGACUUGAGGGAGGUAGAGGAGAGUGGAAUUCCCGGUGUAGUGGUGAUAUGCGUAGAUAUCGGGAGGAACACCAGUGGCGAAGGCGGCUCUCUGGGCCUUUCCUGACGCUGAGACGCGAAAGCGUGGGGAGCGAACCGG
rnacentral:rRNA from 1 species